rnacentral:misc_RNA from 1 species
UACAGAGACCUCAAGCGUUAUCCGGAUUUAUUGGGCGUAAAGGGUCCGCAGGCGGCCUUAUAAGUCCUAUGUCAAAUUUUCGGGCUCAACCCGGAAACUGCGUAGGAUACUGUAAGGCUAGAGACUGGGAGAGGCACACGGAAUUGUCGGUGUAGGGGUAAAAUCCGUUAAUAUCGACAAGAACACCAAAGGCGAAGGCAGUGUGCUGGAACAGUUCUGACGCUCAGGGACGAAAGCGUGGGUAGCGAAUGGG